CCUCGGGGACGGCCCCGGGGACGUCGAAUUUUUUGGCGGGACGACCCGC
rnacentral:ncRNA from 1 species